GAUGAACGCUGGCGGCGUGCCUAAUACAUGCAAGUCGAGCGAAGCGGGGGCGGGUGAGUACCGCGUAGAUAACCUCCUAUAAGUCUGGGUUAACUUCGGGAAACAGGAGCUAAACCGGCUACUCAUAGAUGGAUCCGCGCUGCAUUAGCUAGUUGGUAAGGUAACGGCUUACCAAGGCAACGAUGCAUAGCCGACCUGAGAGGGUGAUCGGCCACACUGGAACGGAGACACGGUCCAGACUCCUACGGGAGGCAGCAGUAGGGAAUCUUCCGCAAUGGGCGAAAGCCUGACGGAGCAACGCCGCGUGAGUGAUGAAGGUCUUCGGAUCGUAAAACUCUGUUAUUAGGGAAGCGGUACCUAAUCAGAAAGCCACGGCUAACUACGUGCCAGCCGCCGCGGUAAUUC
rnacentral:rRNA from 1 species